UGCAAGUCGAGCGGUAACAGAGAGUAGCUUGCUACUUUGCUGACGAGCGGCGGACGGGUGAGUAAUGCUUGGGAACAUGCCUUGAGGUGGGGGACAACAGUUGGAAACGACUGCUAAUACCGCAUAAUGUCUACGGACCAAAGGGGGCUUCGGCUCUCGCCUUUAGAUUGGCCCAAGUGGGAUUAGCUAGUUGGUGAGGUAAUGGCUCACCAAGGCGACGAUCCCUAGCUGGUUUGAGAGGAUGAUCAGCCACACUGGGACUGAGACACGGCCCAGACUCCUACGGGAGGCAGCAGUGGGGAAUAUUGCACAAUGGGCGCAAGCCUGAUGCAGCCAUGCCGCGUGUGUGAAGAAGGCCUUCGGGUUGUAAAGCACUUUCAGUCAGGAGGAAAGGUUAGUAGUUAAUACCUGCUAGCUGUGACGUUACUGACAGAAGAAGCACCGGCUAACUCCGUGCCAGCAGCCGCGGUAAUACGGAGGGUGCGAGCGUUAAUCGGAAUUACUGGGCGUAAAGCGUACGCAGGCGGUUUGUUAAGCGAGAUGUGAAAGCCCCGGGCUCAACCUGGGAACUGCAUUUCGAACUGGCAAACUAGAGUGUGAUAGAGGGUGGUAGAAUUUCAGGUGUAGCGGUGAAAUGCGUAGAGAUCUGAAGGAAUACCGAUGGCGAAGGCAGCCACCUGGGUCAACACUGACGCUCAUGUACGAAAGCGUGGGGGAGCAAACAGGAUUAGAUACCCUGGUAGUCCACGCCGUAAACGAUGUCUACUAGAAGCUCGGAACCUCGGUUCUGUUUUUCAAAGCUAACGCAUUAAGUAGACCGCCUGGGGAGUACGGCCGCAAGGUUAAAACUCAAAUGAAUUGACGGGGGCCCGCACAAGCGGUGAGCAUGUGUUUAUUCGAUGCAACGCGAAGAACCUUACCUACACUUGACAUACAGAGACUUACUAGAGAUGGUUUGUGCCUUCGGAGCUCUGAUACAGUGCUGCAUGCUGUCGUCAGCUCGUGUGUGAGAUGUUGGGUUAGUUCAGCA
rnacentral:rRNA from 1 species